UCAAAGAUAAUCAUGGAGGAACAGCUUAUGAUUGUGCUGGAGGGAGGUUGAAAAAACAAAACUGGGAAAUAAUAAGACGAAAAUUAAAAGAAUACGAAAUUUGAAGAACAUAACUAUUUUGGAAACAAGGCUACUUUCAGAAGGCUCCUCUAUAUGAAGAGUGUGACCGUAACAUCGCGCUCACAAUUGGCAAUGGCAAACCAACUUUAAAGAUUAAUUCAGUAUUCUCACCACAAGAGCAUCUAAUCACAAAAAUAAAUCAGCAAAAAUUUGUUUUAAAUUUUUCUUUCAAUGGCAUAAUUGACUGGCAUAACUGUAAGGUUUGCCUUUAAUAUUUUCUGAGCCUGAGCUUAUGGGCGUUUCUGAAAAUGGGUAAAUUCUGGAAUAUAAGAAAGUAUGAUGAUAACAAAACAUUUAUUUGGUUAAAUUUCAUCGAACCAGCCCAAAACCAUAUCAGACCAAAUGUCAAGUCAAUAGGUUAAUAUUGGAGUAUGGAACUUUUAAGUAAAAGGACACUAUAAUACCCGGUUUAGCCUUAUUUUGUGGAUUUCUUAUGUUCACUGCUUUGUAAUUAGUAUUAAAAGUCAUGAGAUAAUAUAUGUUUGAUAUCUA